AGAACGAACGCUGGCGGCAUGCCUAACACAUGCAAGUCGAACGAGACCUUCGGGUCUAGUGGCGCACGGGUGCGUAACGCGUGGGAAUCUGCCCUUGGGUUCGGAAUAACAGUUAGAAAUGACUGCUAAUACCGGAUGAUGACGUAAGUCCAAAGAUUUAUCGCCCAAGGAUGAGCCCGCGUAGGAUUAGCUAGUUGGUGAGGUAAAGGCUCACCAAGGCGACGAUCCUUAGCUGGUCUGAGAGGAUGAUCAGCCACACUGGGACUGAGGCACGGCCCAGACUCCUACGGGAGGCAGCAGUGGGGAAUAUUGGACAAUGGGCGAAAGCCUGAUCCAGCAAUGCCGCGUGAGUGAUGAAGGCCUUAGGGUUGUAAAGCUCUUUACCCGGGAUGAUAAUGACAGUACCGGGAGAAUAAGCUCCGGCUAACUCCGCGCCAGCAGCCGC
rnacentral:rRNA from 1 species